GGCCAGCAGCCGCGGUAAUACAGAGGUCCCGAGCGUUGUUCGGAUUCACUGGGCGUAAAGGGUGCGUAGGUGGUGAGGUAAGUCGGAUGUGAAAGCUCGGAGCUCAACUCCGAAAUGGCAUUGGAAACUACCUUGCUGGAGGAUUGGAGGGGGGACUGGAAUUCUCGGUGUAGCAGUGAAAUGCGUAGAGAUCGAGAGGAACACCAGUGGCGAAGGCGAGUCCCUGGACAAAUCCUGACGCUGAGGCACGAAAGCUAGGGGAGCAAACAGGAUUAGAUACCCUGGUAGUCCUAGCCGUAAACGGUGUGCACUUGCUGUAGGCGGAAUCGACCCCGUCUGUGGCGUAGCCAACGCGAUAAGUGCACCGCCUGGGAAGUACGGUCGCAAGAUUAAAACUUAAAGGAAUUGGCGGGGGAU
rnacentral:rRNA from 1 species